AGCGAACGCUGGCGGCAGGCUUAACACAUGCAAGUCGAGCGGGCGUAGCAAUACGUCAGCGGCAGACGGGUGAGUAACGCGUGGGAACGUACCUUUUGGUUCGGAACAACACAGGGAAACUUGUGCUAAUACCGGAUAAGCCCUUACGGGGAAAGGAUUUAUCGCCGAAAGAUCGGCCCGCGUCUGAUUAGCUAGUUGGUGAGGUAACGGCUCACCAAGGCGACGAUCAGUAGCUGGCUGAGAGGAUGAUCAGCCACCAUUGGG
rnacentral:rRNA from 1 species